AUUGAACGCUGGCGGCAGGCCUAACACAUGCAAGUCGAGCGGAGAGGCGGACGGGUGAGGAAUGCCUAGGAAUCUGCCUGGUAGUGGGGGAUAACGUACGGAAAAGGGCGCUAAUACCGCAUACUAUCAGAUGAGCCUAGGUCUGAUGAGCUAGUUGGGGGGGGAAAGGCCUACCAGGGCGACGAUCCGUAACUGGUCUGAGAUGAUGCUCAGUCACACUGGAACUGAGACACGGUCCACACUCCUACGGGAGGCAGCAGUGGGGAAUAUUGGACAAUGGGCGAACGCCUGUGCCAGCCAGGCCGCGUGUGUGAAGAAGGUCUUCGGAUUGUAAAGCACUGUAAGUUGGGAGGCGUGACCAACAGAAUAAGCACCGGCUAACUGCGUGCCAGCAGCCGCGGUAAUAC
rnacentral:rRNA from 1 species